GAUUUCCGAAUGGAGCAAUCCGGUAGUUGGAAACAGCUAUCAUUAAUUGAUGAAUAAAUAGUCAAUUAAAGCAAUACGUGGUGAAGUGAAACAUCUCAGUAGCCACAGGAAAAGAAAACGAAUGUGAUUCCGUGUGUAGUGGCGAGCGAAAGCGGAACAGGCCAAACUUAUCAUUAGAUAGGGGUUGUAGGGCUUGCAAUGUGGACUUGAAAACGAUAGAAGAAGCUGUUGGAAAGCAGCGCGCAAAAGGGUGAUAGCCCCGUAUUUGAAAUUGUUUUCAUACCUAGCGAGAUCCCUGAGUAGCUCGGAAAACGUUAUUUUGAGUGAAUCUGCCCAGACCAUUGGGUAAGCCUAAAUACUAAUUAGUGACCGAUAGCGAAACAGUACCGUGAGGGAAAGGUGAAAAGAACCCAGAGAUGGGAGUGAAAUAGAUUCUGAAACCAUAUGCCUACAACGUGUCAGAGCACAUUAAUGUGUGAUGGCGUGCGUUUUGAAGUAUGAGCCGGCGAGUUAUGAUAGCAAGCGUUAGUUAACCAGGAGAUGGGGAGCUGUAGCGAAAGCGAGUUUUAAAAGAGCGUUUGUUUGUUAUUAUAGACCCGAAACGGGUUGAGCUAGUCAUGAGCAGGUUGAAGGUUGAGUAACAUCAACUGGAGGACCGAACCGACUCUCGUUGAAACGAUAGCGGAUGACUUGUGAUUAGGGGUGAAAUUCCAAUCGAAAUCCGUGAUAGCUGGUUCUCGUCGAAAUAGCUUUAAGGCUAGCGUGAGAUCACAAAUAAGUGGAGGUAAAGCUACUGAAUGUAUGAUGGCGCCACCUAGGCGUACUGAAUACAAUUAAACUCUGAAUGCCAUUUAUUUUAUUCUCGCAGUCAGACAGUGGGGGAUAAGCUUCAUUGUCAAGAGGGGAAGAGCCCAGAUCAUUAAAUAAGGUCCCCAAAAUAUACUAAGUGGAAAAGGAUGUGAAAGUGCUAAAACAGCAAGGAUGUUGGCUUAGAAGCAGCCAUCGUUUAAAGAGUGCGUAACAGCUCACUUGUCGAGUGUUUUUGCGCCGAAGAUGUAACGGGGCUAAGUAUAUUACCGAAUUUAUGGAUAAGAUUUAUAUCUUGUGGUAGACGAGCGUUGUAUUGGAGUUGAAGUCAAAGCGUGAGCAUUGGUGGAUCCAAUACAAGUGAGAAUGCCGGCGUGAGUAACGCUUGGGAGUGAGAAUCUCCCAAACCGAUUGACUAAGGUUUCCUGGACCAGGGUCGUCCUUCCAGGGUUAGUCUGGACCUAAGCUGAGGCUGAAAAGCGUAGGCGAUGGACAACAGGUUAAUAUUCCUGUACUUACAGUUAGACUGAUGGAGUGACAAAGAAGGUUUUCCACCCCCAUAAUUGGAUUUGGGGAUAAAUCAUAAGGUGGUACAAUAGGCAAAUCCGUUGUGCAUAACAUUGAGUGAUGAUGUCGAGUGAAUGAGUGAUCAAGUAGCGAAGGUGGUAUUAAUCAUGCUUUCAAGAAAAGCUUCUAGGGUUAAUCUAGCUGUAACCAGUACCGAGAACGAACACACGUAGUCAAGGAGAGGAUCCUAAGGUUAGCGAGUGAACUAUAGCCAAGGAACUCUGCAAAUUAACCCCGUAAGUUAGCGAGAAGGGGUGCUUAUGUAAAAGUAAGCCGCAGUGAAGAACGAGGGGGGACUGUUUAACUAAAACACAACUCUAUGCCAAACCGUAAGGUGAUGUAUAUGGGGUGACACCUGCCCAGUGCUGGAAGGUUAAAGAAGGAGGUUAGCGCAAGCGAAGCUUUUAACUGAAGCCCCAGUGAACGGCGGCCGUAACUAUAACGGUCCUAAGGUAGCGAAAUUCCUAGUCGGGUAAAUUCCGUCCCGCUUGAAUGGUGUAACCAUCUCUUGACUGUCUCGGCUAUAGACUCGGUGAAAUCCAGGUACGGGUGAAGACACCCGUUAGGCGCAACGGGACGGUAAGACCCCGUGAAGCUUUACUGUAGCUUAAUAUUGAUCAGGACAUUAUCAUGUAGAGAAUAGGUAGGAGCAAUCGAUGCAAGUUCGCUAGGACUUGUUGAUGCGAAAGGUGGAAUACUACCCUUGGUUGUGUGCUGUUCUAAUUGGUAACUGUUAUCCAGUUUCAAGACAGUGUUAGGUGGGCAGUUUGACUGGGGCGGUCGCCUCCUAAAAGGUAACGGAGGCGUACAAAGGUACCUUCAGUACGGUUGGAAAUCGUAUGUAGAGUGUAAUGGUGUAAGGGUGCUUGACUGUGAGACAUACAGGUCGAACAGGUGAGAAUCAGGUCAUAGUGAUCCGGUGUCCAGUAUGGAAUGGCCAUCGC
rnacentral:rRNA from 1 species